GACGAACGCUGGCGGCGUGCCUAAUACAUGCAAGUAGAACGCUGAAGGAGGAGCUUGCUUCUCUGGAUGAGUUGCGAACGGGUGAGUAACGCGUAGGUAACCUGCCUGGUAGCGGGGGAUAACUAUUGGAAACGAUAGCUAAUACCGCAUAAGAGUAGAUGUUGCAUGACAUUUACUUAAAAGGUGCAAUUGCAUCACUACCAGAUGGACCUGCGUUGUAUUAGCUAGUUGGUGGGGUAACGGCUCACCAAGGCGACGAUACAUAGCCGACCUGAGAGGGUGAUCGGCCACACUGGGACUGAGACACGGCCCAGACUCCUACGGGAGGCAGCAGUAGGGAAUCUUCGGCAAUGGACGGAAGUCUGACCGAGCAACGCCGCGUGAGUGAAGAAGGUUUUCGGAUCGUAAAGCUCUGUUGUAGGAGAAGAACGAGUGUGAGAGUGGAAAGUUCAC
rnacentral:rRNA from 1 species